rnacentral:rRNA from 1 species
UACGUAGGGUGCGAGCGUUAAUCGGAAUUACUGGGCGUAAAGCGUGCGCAGGCGGUUUUGUAAGCCAGAUGUGAAAGCCCCGGGCUUAACCUGGGAAUGGCAUUUGGGACUGCAAGGCUGGAGUGUGGCAGAGGAGACUGGAAUUCCUGGUGUAGCAGUGAAAUGCGUAGAUAUCAGGAGGAACACCGGUGGCGAAGGCGGGUCUCUGGGCCGAUACUGACGCUGAGGAGCGAAAGUGUGGGGAGCGAACGGG